rnacentral:rRNA from 1 species
GACGGGGGCCCGCACAAGCGGUGGAGCAUGUGGUUUAAUUCGAUGCAACGCGAAGAACCUUACCUACUCUUGACAUCCAGAGAACUUUCCAGAGAUGGAUUGGUGCCUUCGGGAACUCUGAGACAGGUGCUGCAUGGCUGUCGUCAGCUCGUGUUGUGAAAUGUUGGGUUAAGUCCCGCAACGAGCGCAACCCUUAUCCUUUGUUGCCAGCGGUCNGGCCGGGAACUCAAAGGAGACUGCCAGUGAUAAACUGGAGGAAGGUGGGGAUGACGUCAAGUCAUCAUGGCCCUUACGAGUAGGGCUACACACUUGNUACAAUGGCGCAUACAAAGAGAAGCGACCUCGCGAGAGCAAGCGGACCUCAUAAAGUGCGUCGUAGUCCGGAUUGGAGUCUGCAACUNGACUCCANGAAGUCGGAAUCGCUAGUAAUCGUGGAUCAGAAUGCCACGGUGAAUACGUUCCCGGGCCUUGUACACACCGCCCGUCACACCAUGGGAGUGGGUUGCAAAAGAAGUA